AAACUUUCAACAACGGAUCUCUUGGCUCUGGCAUCGAUGAAAAACGCAGCGAAAUGCGAUAAGUAAUGUGAAUUGCCGAAUUCAGUGAAUCAUCGAAUCUUUGAACGCACAUUGCGCGCGCCAGUAUUCUGGCGGGCAUGCCUGUACGAGCGUCA
rnacentral:rRNA from 1 species